AUGAACGCUGGCGGCGUGCCUCAUACCUGCAAGUCGAGCGCACAGACGAGGAGCUUGCUCCUCUGACGUUAGCGGCGGACGGGUGAGUAACACGUGGAUAACCUACCUAUAAGACUGGGAUAACUUCGGGAAACCGGAGCUAAUACCGGAUAAUAUAUUGAACCGCAUGGUUCAAUAGUGAAAGACGGUUUUGCUGUCACUUAUAGAUGGAUCCGCGCCGCAUUAGCUAGUUGGUAAGGUAACGGCUUACCAAGGCGACGAUGCGUAGCCGACCUGAGAGGGUGAUCGGCCACACUGGAACUGAGACACGGUCCAGACUCCUACGGGAGGCAGCAGUAGGGAAUCUUCCGCAAUGGGCGAAAGCCUGACGGAGCAACGCCGCGUGAGUGAUGAAGGUCUUCGGAUCGUAAAACUCUGUUAUUAGGGAAGAGCAAAUGUGUAAGUAACUAUGCACGUCUUGACGGUACCUAAUCAGAAAGCCACGGCUAACUACGUG
rnacentral:rRNA from 1 species